GCGCUACCUUCGGGUGGAGCGGCGGACGGGUUAGUAACGCGUGGGAACAUACCCUUUUCUACGGAAUAGCCUUUGGAAACGAAGAGUAAUACCGUAUACGCCCUUCGGGGGAAAGAUUUAUCGGUUAAGGAUUGGCCCGCGUUAGAUUAGAUAGUUGGUGGGGUAAUGGCCUACCAAGUCUACGAUCUAUAGCUGGUUUGAGAGGAUGAUCAGCAACACUGGGACUGAGACACGGCCCAGACUCCUACGGGAGGCAGCAGUGGGGAAUCUUAGACAAUGGGCGCAAGCCUGAUCUAGCGAUGCCGCGUGAGUGAUGAAGGCCUUAGGGUCGUAAAGCUCUUUCGCCAGGGAUGAUAAUGACAGUACCUGGUAAAGAAGUUCCGGCUAACUCCGUGCCAGCAGCCGCGGUAAUACGGAGGGAACUAGCGUUGUUCGGAAUUACUGGGCGUAAAGCGCACGUAGGCGGACUGGAAAGUUAGAGGUGAAAUCCCAGGGCUCAACCCUGGAACUGCCUUUAAAACUAUCAGUCUAGAGUUCGAGAGAGGUGAGUGGAAUUCCAAGUGUAGAGGUGAAAUUCGUAGAUAUUUGGAGGAACACCAGUGGCGA
rnacentral:rRNA from 1 species